rnacentral:lncRNA from 12 species
CUGGCUGUCGGUAAGGCAAGAAAUUCUCUGGAUUCACAUACACUGAAUUAUGUGAAGUUUUGAUUCAAAAACGUCAAGUCUGUGCUGAAUUUAUUUUCACUAGACCAAGAUAGCAACAGACAAACAGAUUUUUGAGCUGCAGCAUGAAUGAAUGUCAUUGGUUAUUUAACACAGGUGCUUUAUAAGGAGGAUGUGAGCAAAAGAACAGAUGUCAACAAGAAGGACUUUUUUCUCAAUGUGUUUAAAGAGAUUUGUUCACCAGAGUCUCAGCUGCUCAUGUACAAUGAAAGCAACACUAUGAGCUGGUUCCCCACAAAGGUAAGGCAAAUACUUUUUUACACUAGAUCAUUAUGCUAAAGACGUACAUAGUAAUACAAUUUUGUUAAGUCAGGCCUCUUUUAAUGGGAUAUGCAUUGUGUUUUUACAGUUUACUAUAUUUUCAUUUUGGCCUUAACCACUUAUCAUCUCUCACCAGCUCAGCGUGGAGAAGGAGAAGUACUUCCUGUUUGGGAUUCUGUGUGGCUUGGCUCUCAACAACAACUCCGUAGUGCAUCUGCCUUUUCCUUUAGCCUUGUUCAAGAAAGUUCUUGAUGUCAAACCAUCUCUAGAAGACUUGAUAGAGUUUAGUCCAGAUAGAGUUUUUCUUCAAAGCGUGUGACAGAUGCAUGGUGGAGAUGUUUGAACCGGAGGAGCUGAGAGGAGUGCUGGUGGGCAAUGAGGAAUAUGACUGGGACAUACUCAAACAGAACACCACAUAUGAAGGAUCAUUUUAUGCUGAGCAUCCAACCAUCAUCUCAUUCUGGGAGGUGUUUGAGGAACUGACACCAAAUGAGAAGAAGGCCUUUCUAUGUAAGUUCACUAGUAAUUAUACUGAAUGUUGCUGUGAUUGAUUGUUGUUAUUCUGUCUAGUAAUUACUGAAAAUGGCAUUUGUCAAAAUGAGAUCUAAUUUAAGAAAUCAAGCUUAUUUGUUUAGUUUUCCAUCCACUCUAGCUGCUCCUAUGAUUUAAAUCUUUCCCCAUUUUUUUUCUUUAGUGUUCCUGACAGGGUUCGAGAAAGUGCCCAUCCUGCGUAUGAGUGCGGUGAAGAUGAGAGUGAUGCUUCUGCUCUAUUCUACUCAGGACCAUCUACCACAGGCCCUCACCUGCUAUUCUCUGUUAGCACUUCCUGUUUAUCAGAACAAGGAAACACUCAAGGCUAAACUAAUUGAAGCCAUCAACCACAAGAGGGGGUUCUGGGAAGAAUGAGGCAGAUGCUGGAGUUCUGGGCUCAUCUGUGGUCAUUAGUCACAGAUCUAACCUUGCUCCUUGAUCUUCCUUGGCAGUAAAAGGGACUUUUCUGUUUAUCAAUAUAUAAGGGAGGGUGGGGAUGGUUGAAUCACUGGGUUUGUUGGUAACCACUUUGUUGUAGCAUGCUUCAGCAAUCAGUUUCUGCUAAUGUGUGGGGUGGGGGGAAGAAGUUUACAUUUAUAACCACAAACAGAAGAUUUCUGGUGGAAAGACAUUUCUCUUUGACGUUAGAUAGCCUAUGAGAUUUUUUAAAAUGCUGUAAUUUCUUUGAUGUGUUGUAUUAAAAAUAAAAUUAAAAUAUAUUAAUAUAUGCUUAUUUAUUUAUUUAUAAUCCAGGUUUAUACACUGAGUAUUUCUCCAACUCCAUUGCGGUCUGGGCAUCGACCUGUGAAAAGGUCCCUCGGUGAAAUAAUUUAAAUAGUCGAACCUCCAGAAAUUAUAGAACUCUCUUAAUUUUAAUAAGUGACAACUAGCCCCGAGGGUCUUCCCUAUAUAUAAAC